CUUGUAAACAUCACAAAAACAGUACACAUAUCAAAUAGUAUUAGGUCAUCCUUAAUGGCAGAACAUUUGCUGUGUUUUUACCCAAUUCUAUUAAUAAAAAAAGGAAUAGUGGUCUUAGAUCAAAAAUUUUGAUCUUCAGAUAGAACUGAUCUAAUGCCCAGUUCUAGCUUAUUUCCUGUCUUCUGAUUGGUCGAAAAAUUGAGAGAACAAAAUCAUUUCUCUCGGUGGUGGUGACCGGUUUUUCAUAUUCUCGACUUCUCCGAGCUCUCUCUUCGUUUCUACAUCCCGCAUCUCCCGUCUUCCACCGCUGCAGCGUGCGUGUCUACACGGUGGUGCUUUCUCUGUCAAUGGCUUAACUCUGACUCGUUGGAAUCCGAUUGUUUCGACUCGUCGAUUCGUUCCUGUUCGUGCAAUUGACUCGGACUCGGAUCUCCCUCACGAGAAUCAGCAGGGAUCUCCAGGUUUUGGUCCAAUUGCAUCAGAUCAUCCUCAAUUCCCAAAAUCUCUUGGCCGGAAACAAUAUCGCCCUUUCUGCUGUUCCAUGGCUGGGAAUGUUGGUUGGUUUGUUAGGAAACCUUUCGUUGCUUUCUUAUUUUGCAAAGAAGAGAGAAAAAGAAGCAGCUAUAGUGCAAACGCUGGGAGUGGUCUCUACUCACAUUGUGCUUGCUCAGCUCACAAUGGCUGAAGCUAUGCCUAUGCAGUAUUUUGUUGCUACUUCAGUUGUUAUUACGAUGGGUCUCAUAUUAAACUGUUUGUACUAUUUCGGCAAGCUUAGCAAACCUUUGUGGCGAUUGUGGGAAGACUUUAUCACUAUUGGUGGUCUCUCUGUUCUUCA